rfam:Actinomyces massiliensis F0489 contig00130, whole genome shotgun sequence.
UCCAUUCCCAAGCACAAUCAUCGGCAGGCCCGGGGGAACCACUUCUCCGGUCCGAUCCGGCUCAUCCGGUCGGCUCGGACCUUGGGGUGAAGCCCGCGCAAGCGGGCCGGGCGUCUCCCGCCCGAACCCGACAGCUAACUCCGUCGGCUCAUCAGGAGAAAAUCA